AGCCCAGAGCCUGAAUCAGUGUGUGUGUUAGUGGAAGCGUCUGGAAAGGCGCGCGAUACAGGGUGACAGCCCCGUACACAAAAAUGCACAUGCUGUGAGCUCGAUGAGUAGGGCGGGACACGUGGUAUCCUGUCUGAAUAUGGGGGGACCAUCCUCCAAGGCUAAAUACUCCUGACUGACCGAUAGUGAACCAGUACCGUGAGGGAAAGGCGAAAAGAACCCCGGCGAGGGGAGUGAAAAAGAACCUGAAACCGUGUACGUACAAGCAGUGGGAGCACGCUUAGGCGUGUGACUGCGUACCUUUUGUAUAAUGGGUCAGCGACUUAUAUUCUGUAGCAAGGUUAACCGAAUAGGGGAGCCGAAGGGAAACCGAGUCUUAACUGGGCGUUAAGUUGCAGGGUAUAGACCCGAAACCCGGUGAUCUAGCCAUGGGCAGGUUGAAGGUUGGGUAACACUAACUGGAGGACCGAACCGACUAAUGUUGAAAAAUUAGCGGAUGACUUGUGGCUGGGGGUGAAAGGCCAAUCAAACCGGGAGAUAGCUGGUUCUCCCCGAAAGCUAUUUAGGUAGCGCCUCGUGAAUUCAUCUCCGGGGGUAGAGCACUGUUUCGGCAAGGGGGUCAUCCCGACUUACCAACCCGAUGCAAACUGCGAAUACCGGAGAAUGUUAUCACGGGAGACACACGGCGGGUGCUAACGUCCGUCGUGAAGAGGGAAACAACCCAGACCGCCAGCUAAGGUCCCAAAGUCAUGGUUAAGUGGGAAACGAUGUGGGAAGGCCCAGACAGCCAGGAUGUUGGCUUAGAAGCAGCCAUCAUUUAAAGAAAGCGUAAUAGCUCACUGGUCGAGUCGGCCUGCGCGGAAGAUGUAACGGGGCUAAACCAUGCACCGAAGCUGCGGCAGCGACGCUUAUGCGUUGUUGGGUAGGGGAGCGUUCUGUAAGCCUGUGAAGGUGUACUGUGAGGUAUGCUGGAGGUAUCAGAAGUGCGAAUGCUGACAUAAGUAACGAUAAAGCGGGUGAAAAGCCCGCUCGCCGGAAGACCAAGGGUUCCUGUCCAACGUUAAUCGGGGCAGGGUGAGUCGACCCCUAAGGCGAGGCCGAAAGGCGUAGUCGAUGGGAAACAGGUUAAUAUUCCUGUACUUGGUGUUACUGCGAAGGGGGGACGGAGAAGGCUAUGUUGGCCGGGCGACGGUUGUCCCGGUUUAAGCGUGUAGGCUGGUUUUCCAGGCAAAUCCGGAAAAUCAAGGCUGAGGCGUGAUGACGAGGCACUACGGUGCUGAAGCAACAAAUGCCCUGCUUCCAGGAAAAGCCUCUAAGCAUCAGGUAACAUCAAAUCGUACCCCAAACCGACACAGGUGGUCAGGUAGAGAAUACCAAGGCGCUUGAGAGAACUCGGGUGAAGGAACUAGGCAAAAUGGUGCCGUAACUUCGGGAGAAGGCACGCUGAUAUGUAGGUGAAGUCCCUCGCGGAUGGAGCUGAAAUCAGUCGAAGAUACCAGCUGGCUGCAACUGUUUAUUAAAAACACAGCACUGUGCAAACACGAAAGUGGACGUAUACGGUGUGACGCCUGCCCGGUGCCGGAAGGUUAAUUGAUGGGGUUAGCGCUAACGCGAAGCUCUUGAUCGAAGCCCCGGUAAACGGCGGCCGUAACUAUAACGGUCCUAAGGUAGCGAAAUUCCUUGUCGGGUAAGUUCCGACCUGCACGAAUGGCGUAAUGAUGGCCAGGCUGUCUCCACCCGAGACUCAGUGAAAUUGAACUCGCUGUGAAGAUGCAGUGUACCCGCGGCAAGACGGAAAGACCCCGUGAACCUUUACUAUAGCUUGACACUGAACAUUGAGCCUUGAUGUGUAGGAUAGGUGGGAGGCUUUGAAGUGUGGACGCCAGUCUGCAUGGAGCCGACCUUGAAAUACCACCCUUUAAUGUUUGAUGUUCUAACGUGGACCCGUGAUCCGGGUUGCGGACAGUGUCUGGUGGGUAGUUUGACUGGGGCGGUCUCCUCCUAAAGAGUAACGGAGGAGCACGAAGGUUGGCUAAUCCUGGUCGGACAUCAGGAGGUUAGUGCAAUGGCAUAAGCCAGCUUGACUGCGAGCGUGACGGCGCGAGCAGGUGCGAAAGCAGGUCAUAGUGAUCCGGUGGUUCUGAAUGGAAGGGCCAUCGCUCAACGGAUAAAAGGUACUCCGGGGAUAACAGGCUGAUACCGCCCAAGAGUUCAUAUCGACGGCGGUGUUUGGCACCUCGAUGUCGGCUCAUCACAUCCUGGGGCUGAAGUAGGUCCCAAGGGUAUGGCUGUUCGCCAUUUAAAGUGGUACGCGAGCUGGGUUUAGAACGUCGUGAGACAGUUCGGUCCCUAUCUGCCGUGGGCGCUGGAGAACUGAGGGGGGCUGCUCCUAGUACGAGAGGACCGGAGUGGACGCAUCACUGGUGUUCGGGUUGUCAUGCCAAUGGCACUGCCCGGUAGCUAAAUGCGGAAGAGAUAAGUGCUGAAAGCAUCUAAGCACGAAACUUGCCCCGAGAUGAGUUCUCCCUGACUCCUUGAGAGUCCUGAAGGAACGUUGAAGACGACGACGUUGAUAGGCCGGGUGUGUAAGCGCAGCGAUGCGUUGAGCUAACCGGUACUAAUGAACCGUGAGGCUUAACCUUACAACGCCGAAG
rnacentral:rRNA from 1 species